ensembl:lncRNA
CUAUACUCUCUUUUUUCUGUCUCCUCACUGCCCUUUCUUGUGCAUCUGCUCUUCUGUUCUGCUGUUCUUUCUUCCUUUUAUCUUCAUCAGCUUAACUUCCUUUUUUCUUCAAUCUCUUCUGCUCUACUCUCUUCCCUCUUUCCACACUCCUCUUCUUCUGCAUCUGCCCUUCUUAUCUGCUCUUCUGUCAUCCCUGUCUCCUCGCUCCUCUUCCUUCUGCCUUUGCACUGCCUUUCUGCUCUGCUUUCUUCCCCGUAACCUCAGUCCUCUUUCUGCAUAGGCACUCCUCAUCUUCUCCCUUCCCUGUAUUCUCACUGCUUCAUCACCUGCAGCUGUGAUCUUCUUCUGCUGUUUGUUUCUUCUUGUAUCCGCUCUCCCCUUUUUUCUGCACCUGCACUCCCCUUCUGCUGUUCCUUUUUCCCUGUACCCUCACUUGCAUUUGCAUUUGCACUUGCACUUCUCUUAGGCUCUUGGUUCUUCCCUGUAUUCUCCCUGCUUUUUUCUCUGCAUUCUCACUCUUCUUCUCCCGUUUUUUUUCCCUGCUUUUUCACUCCUCAUCGUUCUGCGUCUAAACUCCUCUGUUGCUCUUCUUAUUCUGUCUCCUCAAUGCUCUUUAUUCUGCAUCUGCACACCUCUUCCACCGUUCUUUCUUCUCUGUAUCCUCUCUCCUCUUCUGCCUCUGCACUCCUCUCUGCUUUGCUUUGUUCCCUGUAUUCUCACUUGUCUUUCUUCUGACUGCUCUCCUCUUCUGCUCCUUGUUGUUCCCUGUGUCAUCUCUCUUCUGCAUCUGCACCCUUCUGCUGUUCUUUUUCCCCUAUCUUCUCUCCUCCUUCUUCUUACUGCACUCCUCCUGUCUUCUGAUUUUUCUUCCUUGUGCGCUCACACCUCUUCUUCAUCUGCACUCCUGUUCUUCCUUUAUUCUUCACCUGCUCUUUGGCACUGUUCUUCUUUUCACAGCACUGUCCGCUCUUCUCUACUACUCUGUUCUUUCUCUGCUCUUCCUCUCUUCUCUCUUGCCUCUUUCCUCUCUUUCCACCUCCUCUACUUUUGCUCUACUUUUCAUACUUCUCCUCUUCAGCUCCUCUCCACUUCUGCUGUUCUGUCUUACCUGCACCCACUCAUCCCUUCUUCAGCUCUUCUCCCUGCCCGCUUGUUUUUCUUACCUUCAUCCUCUCUUUUUCUUCUCCUCCUCUUCUGCUCUUCUUUCUUACCUGUGCCUGUUCUUCUCUGCUUUUGCUCUUGUCCUUCUCAGCCUCUUCUCCCUGCCCGCUUGUUUUUCUUACCUUCAUCCUCUCUUUUUCUUCUCCUCCUCUUCUGCUCUUCUUUCUUACCUGUGCCUGUUCUUCUCUGCUUUUGCUCUUGUCCUUCUCAGCGUCUGCCUUACCUUUAUUCUCUCUUCUCCUCAAGACGGGGAGUUCUUGGAGUGGGUCCAGAGGAGGGCCACUAAGAUGGUCAGAGGGCUGGAGCACCUCUCGUAUGAGGAAAGGUGGAGGGAACUGGG